UCGGGAAUUUUGGGCAAUGGGCGAAAGCCUGACCCAGCAACGCCGCGUGAAGGAUGAAGCUUUUCGGAGUGUAAACUUCACAAGAAUGGGAAGAAUAAGUGUGGGAUAAUACCCUUCACGAUGACGGUACCAUUUGUAAGCUCCGGCUAACUCCGUGCCAGCAGCCGCGGUAAUACGGGGGGAGCAAGCGUUGUUCGGAUUUACUGGGCGUAAAGGGCGCGUAGGCGGCGCGACAAGUCACUUGUGAAAUCUCUGGGCUCAACCCAGAACGGUCAAGUGAUACUGUCGUGCUAGAGUGCGGAAGGGGCAACUGGAAUUCUUGGUGUAGCGGUGAAAUGCGUAGAUAUCAAGAGGAACACCUGCGGCGAAGGCGGGUUGCUGGGCCGACACUGACGCUGAGGCGCGAAAGCUAGGGGAGCGAACGG
rnacentral:rRNA from 1 species